AGUAGCAUGACUUAGUGGAAAGGGCAUGGAUCUGUGAGCCGGAGGACCUGGGUUCUAAUCUCAGUUCUGCUA
rnacentral:tRNA from 1 species